rnacentral:rRNA from 1 species
CGUUUAAAGCACAAUUUUAAAUAGAGUCUGCUCCCUGAGUGUAUUUAAAGAGCCGCAGUAUCCUAACUGUGCAAAGGUAGCAAAAUAACUUGUCUCCUAAUUAGAGACUGGAAUGAAUGACCUGACGAGGAAAUAUCUGUCUCCAUUAUAAAAAAAAAAUUGACAUGUAAGUCAAAAGGCUUAUAUAAAUCAGCAAGACGACAAGACCCUAUAAAACUUUACCUUUUUAAAUCAACUAUCAUAGAAUUAUCCAAAUAAAGGGUUUAACUGGGGCGGUAUUUAUAUAAUAUAUAACUAUACUAACCUAAACAUAUAUAAAUGAAAUAAUAAACCUUAAUUAAAAUAUAAAAACAAGUUACUUUAGGGAUAACAGCAUAAUAUUCUUUGAGAGCUCUUAUCGACAAGAAAUGAUUAUGACCUCGAUGUUGAAUUGGGAAACCUUUCAAGAGCAGNAACUUGGAAAGAAAGUCUGUUCGACUUUUAAACUCCC